rnacentral:rRNA from 1 species
UACGUAGGGUGCAAGCGUUGUCCGGAAUUAUUGGGCGUAAAGAGCUCGUAGGCGGUUUGUCGCGUCGGCUGUGAAAACUCGGGGCUCAACCCCGAGCCUGCAGUCGAUACGGGCAGACUAGAGUGCUGUAGGGGAGACUGGAAUUCCUGGUGUAGCGGUGAAAUGCGCAGAUAUCAGGAGGAACACCGGUGGCGAAGGCGGGUCUCUGGGCAGUAACUGACGCUGAGGCACGAAGGUCAGGGGAGCAAACGGG